ACGAGUUAGGGUCCUCUAGGCCCGACCUCCCAACCCUUUGCUUACCGAAACCUCUGUUGCUUCGGCGGGCCCGUCUCACGACCGCCGGAGGACCGCCGCAGGGCGUGUCCUCCAGCCCGUGUCCGCCGAUAGCCAACUACAAACUCUGUAUAAAUCAUGUCUCAUGUCUAAGUCAAAUUGAAUUAAAAGCA
rnacentral:misc_RNA from 1 species